rnacentral:snoRNA from 1 species
CACCAAAACUCUUUGUCAGGGUGCUCUCCGCCGCGAAUCAAAUGAGUUUGCAAACUACGAGAGUGUCUGUUAAAGUUUUGGAAGAUCGAUAUUGUCUACCUUAUCCAUCAUCUUCCGUUCUGGAAGAAUUAGGAUAAUAGAAGGACAACCUCCGUUUUGGAGGUAUACCUUCGCACCUAGACAACGAGGACCUUCCAGAGUUGAGCUUUGUUAGUGAAGAUUAUUCACAUACCAUACAUUUGCUCGUAGUAAAGGACUUCACAUUC